rnacentral:rRNA from 1 species
UACGGAGGGUGCGAGCGUUGUCCGGAAUCAUUGGGCGUAAAGGGCGCGUAGGUGGCGGGACAAGCGUGCGGUGAAAGCUCGGGGCUCAACCCCGAGUCGGCCGUGCGAACUGUCUUGCUUGAGCACUGUAGAGGCAGGCGGAAUUCCGGGUGUAGCGGUGGAAUGCGUAGAGAUCCGGAAGAACACCCGUGGCGAAGGCGGCUCUCUGGGACGGUACUGACGCUGAGACGCGAAAGCGUGGGGAGCGAACAGG